AAAGUCGUAACAAGGUUUCCGUAGGUGAACCUGCGGAAGGAUCAUUAAACGUUUUCCAACGUACCAACCACGAGAACUCGUUUUUUCACUCGUCUGUGGGCAGUUCUGAGCCUACCAAAGUAUGGUGGGGCGGCCGUAACAACGCCGCCUGUUUGGUAGUCCAUUUCACAGCAAUGUGAGACAGGCUGAUUCGCGCAGCAACCAUUUUUCAUUAUUUCAACUUUUAACGCAUUGUACCAACUUGUACUAACAAAAUUGUGAAGUCGUGUUUUUCGUGGCCGCGCAAGCGUCUCGAAAACUCGAUGAACUAAAGACAUUUAAUUGCUGAACAACUCUUAGCAACGGAUAUCUUGGUUCUC
rnacentral:misc_RNA from 1 species